rnacentral:misc_RNA from 1 species
GACAGUUAUUUGGUGGAAAUUUUAAAACUAAAUACAAGAGAUUAUCAUCCAAGUUCAUACUACUAAAGUACACCAAGUUCAUCCAUUUCUUCAUCGUUGUCAUCCCAUUCCAUGGGUUCAUCCCAUACCAUCGGUUCAAUACCCCCAUGGUAAGCCUGUAACAGAAACCCCAUAACACCUACAUUUUCAACCGCUUCUUCCUCUGCUGGCAUUGGAGACAUAUUUGAGUUUUCUGAAAAGCUUGGCAACAUCCAUCGGAGAACCCCUGGGGUGUACUUCAACGCAAACUUCCCUGAUGGUUCGAGGAUAUCUAUGUCAAAUGCAGGGCACAGAGGACCACCACCCAUGACUUUCACAUGGCUAACGCAUGUGUAAAACAAGUUGUCU